AUUGAACGCUGGCGGCAUGCCUUACACAUGCAAGUCGAACGGCAGCACGGACUUCGGUCUGGUGGCGAGUGGCGAACGGGUGAGUAAUGUAUCGGAACGUACCUUUCAGUGGGGGAUAACGUAGCGAAAGUUACGCUAAUACCGCAUAUUCUGUGAGCAGGAAAGCAGGGGAUCGCAAGACCUUGCGCUGAUUGAGCGGCCGAUAUCAGAUUAGCUAGUUGGUGGGGUAAAGGCCUACCAAGGCGACGAUCUGUAGCGGGUCUGAGAGGAUGAUCCGCCACACUGGAACUGAGACACGGUCCAGACUCCUACGGGAGGCAGCAGUGGGGAAUUUUGGACAAUGGGGGGCAACCCUGAUCCAGCCAUGCCGCGUGAGUGAAGAAGGCC
rnacentral:rRNA from 1 species